AACGAACGCUGGCGGCAUGCCUAACACAUGCAAGUCGAACGAGAUCUUCGGGUCUAGUGGCGCACGGGUGCGUAACGCGUGGGAAUCUGCCCUUUGGUUCGGAAUAACAGUUGGAAACGACUGCUAAUACCGGAUGAUGACGCAAGUCCAAAGAUUUAUCGCCAGAGGAUGAGCCCGCGUAGGAUUAGCUAGUUGGUGUGGUAAAGGCGCACCAAGGCGACGAUCCUUAGCUGGUCUGAGAGGAUGAUCAGCCACACUGGGACUGAGACACGGCCCAGCCUCCUACGGGAGGCAGCAGUGGGGAUAUUGGACAAUGGGCGAAAGCCUGAUCCAGCAAUGCGGCGUGAGUGAUGAAGGCCUUAGGGUUGUAAAGCUCUUUUACCCGGGAUGAUAAUGACAGUACCGGGAGAAUAAGCUCCGGCUAACUCCGUGCCAGCCGCCGCCGUAA
rnacentral:rRNA from 1 species